UCUGAUUGAAAAACUAAAAACAACAGAAUAUCUUGUUGUGCAUAAAUCAUCAAUUAUAUGCCCAAUUAGUACUGUCCAGUUAAAGGUCGAAGCUAGAAUUAUAGAUCUUACAACUGUACUUCCAAAAAGAACAAUUCAAUGUCAGACUUUUAUCAUUGCUAAAUGUCAGGAUCUCAUAUCAUACAAUCAUAAUCCUCCUAGAUUAGGAUUAUACCAAAUUAGUGAACGAAUAAAAUAACUACAAUUUGGAGCUUCAAGUAAAGCAAACGGUUAACUUAAUUCUCUAGUCGACGGCCAUGUUGGUACCUGAAGAAUCACCCUCCCCUGCUGUUAGUUCAGCACUUUGGUCCCAAGUUCUUGGCGCAGCAUCCGAUCCCAAAUCUCCAACCUGGUAGCCAAUUCUGGUCAACAAAUAGUAGCAUGGAAUACUUUUCCAACUAACUUAGAAUCAGACAAGAAGACAUGCUUACCAUGUUGGCGUAUAUGACACUGGAACCACCCAUGCAACCAUUGUCUAGAUGUGUCUCUUUCGGUUCAAAACUGUGAAUUUC
rnacentral:lncRNA from 1 species